GACGAACGCUGGCGGCGUGCCUAACACAUGCAAGUCGAACGGAGUAAAGACUUCGGUUUUUACUUAGUGGCGAACGGGUGAGUAACGCGUGAGAAACCUGCCUUUCAGUGGGGGACAACAGUUGGAAACGACUGCUAAUACCGCAUAAUGUUAUUUGGGGGCAUCCCUGAAUAACCAAGGAUUUAUUGCUGAAAGAUGGUCUCGCGUCUGAUUAGCUAGUUGGUGAGGUAACGGCUCACCAAGGCGACGAUCAGUAGCCGGUCUGAGAGGAUGAACGGCCACAUUGGGACUGAGAUACGGCCCAGACUCCUACGGGAGGCAGCAGUGGGGAAUAUUGGGCAAUGGGGGAAACCCUGACCCAGCAACGCCGCGCGAAGGAAGAAGGCCUUCGGGUUGUAAACUUCUUUUACCAGGGUCGAACAAACGACGGUACCUGGAGAAAAAGCAACGGCUAACUACGUGCCAGCAGCCGCGGUAACAC
rnacentral:rRNA from 1 species